rnacentral:rRNA from 1 species
AUACGUAGGUGGCAAGCGUUGUCCGGAAUUAUUGGGCGUAAAGCGCGCGCAGGCGGUCCUUUAAGUCUGAUGUGAAAGCCCACGGCUCAACCGUGGAGGGUCAUUGGAAACUGGAGGACUUGAGUGCAGAAGAGUAAAGUGGAAUUCCAAGUGUAGCGGUGAAAUGCGUAGAGAUUUGGAGGAACACCAGUGGCGAAGGCGACUUUCUGCUCGGUAACGGACUCUGAGGCGCGAAAGCGUGGGGCGCAACCAGGAUUAGAUACCCUGGUAGUCCACGCCGUAAACGAUGAGUGCUAAGUGUUGGGGGGUUUCCGCCCCUCAGUGCUGCAGCUAACGCAUUAAGCACUCCGCCUGGGGAGUACGGUCGCAAGACUGAAACUCAAAGGAAUUGACGGGG